UACGUAGGGUGCAAGCGUUGUCCGGAAUUAUUGGGCGUAAAGAGCUCGUAGGCGGUCAGUCGCGUCUGCUGUGAAAACUCGGGGCUUAACUCCGGGCCUGCAGUGGGUACGGGCUGACUAGAGUGCGGUAGGGGAGACUGGAAUUCCUGGUGUAGCGGUGAAAUGCGCAGAUAUCAGGAGGAACACCGGUGGCGAAGGCGGGUCUCUGGGCCGAUACUGACGCUGAGGAGCGAAAACGUGGGA
rnacentral:rRNA from 1 species